ensembl:lncRNA
UUCUACUUCCAACCGUAAUGAAGGCUAGAGUGUUUAUUAUUAAAUAACCAUAGGAAAGAUUCUAAAAGAUUCUGCAGGCUUCUGAUUCCAUCAUCUCUGAGCCCAUCCUUUUCAGAGAAGUCUCAACAUUGAUUUUAAGACGCUCUGAAUGCCUUGUCAUUCUGGAUGAAGAUGGAAUGUUCAAUGGAGAUGCAGCAAAGGACAGGAGCAGCUUUCAUGUUAAAUUGUCAGAUAAUCACCAGGAAAGCUCUGAAGAGCUGAAGAGUCUGCCAUUGUGAAGACAAAUUAACUUGGCACUUGGCAGGAUGUGUCCUUAUAAGAAGAGGAUAUUAAGAUACAGUCAUGUACAGAGGGAGGACCAUGUGAAGACACAAGGAGAAGGCGGCCAUCUGCAAGCCAAGGAGAGAGGCCUCAGAAGAAAUCAACUCUGCCAACACCUUGAUCUCGGAUUUCUAGCCUCCAGACUAUAUUUGGACUAAGGCUGCAACUCUUCCCUGGGUGUCCAGCCUGCUAGCCUACUCUGCAGAUUUUGGACUUGCCAGCCUCCACAAUCACAUGAGCCAAUUCUAUCUAUCUAACUAUCUAUCUAUCUAUCUAUCUAUCUAUCCAUCAAUCAUCUAUCUACACAACACACACAGACACACAUACACAUAUCCUAUGGUUCUGUUUCCCUGAAGAGCCCUGACUAAUAAAGAGAGCCUGACUUUUCUACUUGAUGUCAAAAAGACCAACAUAGUCAAGAUUUUUUUCCUGUGAUGAUUGUAUUGAUGCUUUUGAUAAAAUACAAAAUAUUACACUUUUCUCUCUCCAAAUUCUGUGUGUGUGUGCGUGUGUGCGCUUACUUUGUUAACUUAGAGUGCCAGCAAGCAAGGUCACCAAAACAGAAAAAAUGUUAUGGUUUAGUAUUGUUCUUUCUUUGAAUUGCAUAUAGAAGUAGGAUACCAUCAUUUUUCAGGUUUCAGGCUGCUAGAGGACUUCAUCUAACCCUCGUGAAAGCUUGAAGUAGUUCCAACAGCUGCUUGGCCUUUUUUGUAAGCCCCGCAUUGGGCACAGAGCCUUCUGGGGUCACCCAGAAGUCCCUCACAUAACAGACACUUGGUCCAAAGAGCAAGUGUUAGCCUCAUGAGUACUUCUAUUUCAACAAAGGCUUGUGCCAGCUAUUUUUAGUCAAGUCCAGGAUGUGCCUAGAUUGUAAACACUUCAAAGAGUAGGGAUGGUAUCUUUAUAGUUCAUACAGAUAGUACACGCAGGAAAUCAUACUUUGAGAACAUAUGCAAUAUAGUCGAUCGAACUAUUAUCUUCAGUGAUGUGGCAGAAUUGGCACUUCAUGUAUGCAAACCACAUGAAAUUAAAGAUAAAAUUUUAGAUACUUAGGACAAAAGUCUACUAUGGAGUGAAAAAGUUUAGGAGGAAAGAGUGUUUUUUCUAAGGGUGGGACUUCAGGGGGCAGAAGAGUUAUUAGCAAGCUUUGGGCCUGAAUGGUAUUUUUAACCAUCUAACCUGACUGAAUUAUUAAUUGUAAUUACUGUAUUUGUUAUAUUAUUAGUGAGCCAAAUUACUACUUUUAUAAACCAGCUGAAUAAUCAUUUUUCUUAUUAUGUAAUUGUUGGCAUAACACGCAGCUUCAAAUCAGACGGUGUCAACCAGUAGGUUGUCGAAUCUUGGUUUAAAAUAUGGCUGAUGAUGAUUGAUUGACGUUUCAUUUUCCUUUUAAUCCUUAUCCAUCUUUUGACCCUCUGCAUGAAGAAUAUAGUAAAUUGCCAAUGAACAUCUUUACAAAGGGUUGCCUGAAGGAGAAAAUAAACAGAAGAAAAUAAACAGAUAAGGGAAGUAGAGAGAAUAUGUAAGAAUGUACACAGAGCAGAGGGGAACAGGAAGGUGAUGAUCCAGGCAAGAAGCCUGGAAGCAAAGGGAUGAGAAUCAAAGGCAGACUCCUUCUUAGGAAUUUAUUAAUAAAAUCAAAUCCUGGUCCAAAAGCCCACGUAUUUGGGUGAGUUCUGAAGAACUACAGAGAUAGGCCAAAAAUAUGAGACCCUGUUUAUAAUGAUCAAAACAACCCAAUUCAGGGGGGUGCAAAAUAACUGUCCCACCAAAUUUGCUUGUUAGGUUAUGCUCUUAAAUAAAGGAAAUCAUAGAUAGUGGCCCAAAGGAACAUACUCGGAAAAUGUUAUUGACAACUAUGCACAGCUCCAUCCAUGGGACCUUCCAAACAACUCCGUGACCUUCACAACCACUCGGGCAAGUAUUACUGCAAUUUUGUUCUCUCUCAAGAUUAUAGCUGAGAAACCGACUUUUAGAGAGAGGUAGUUCAUUAAUGACACAUAGCAAGUUAGAGGCAGGACUAGAACUGGCAGACUGGAACUAGUUGCUAGAAUUGUGGUUACUCCAUAGAAGUGAUGACAAGAAUGAGUUAUUACUGCAAUUAAUGUCCCUGGCUAAAAAAAUAUAUAAAUUUUCAACCACUUUGGGAAAACUAUUUGACACUUUUUAUUAAGGUUGAUAGUGCUCAUUCCCAUAUUAUCCAGCUAUUUCACUUCUACUCUGGAAAUUCAAGCACAUAUGCACCAGGAUACACAGGCGAGAAUGUUCACAGCAACAUUUUCAUAAUAUCCCCCAAGCUGGAAGCAACUCAAAUGCUCAUCAGCCGUAGAAUGGAUGAUGAAUUGUGGUAUAUGCAUACAUUUGAAUGCUAUAGAGCAAAGAAAACAUGAACCAGAGCAACAAACAAGAAGAUGGGCGGAUCUCACAAAUAUAAUUGUUGGGCAAAAGAAGAAUUUAUAAAAGAAACAUAGAAUAUGAUUCCAUUUAUACAAAGCCCAAAACAGGGAACUUAAUCACACUGUUUAGGAAUGCAGACAUAGGGGGUAAAAUUACAAGGAAAAGCAAGGACAAGAUUCUCAACAAUCAAGUUGGUGAUUACCUCUGGUGGGGCAGAAGGCAGAGGUGAUCAGGAACAGACUUCUGGGGUACUGGCAAUGAUCUGUUUCUUGACCUGGGUGAUAGUUAUACAGAUGUUGCCUUAUAAUUAUUGUUCAAACUGUAUGCUUUAUGCAUCCUUCACAUUUUCUUCCGUAGUCUCUGAAUUGACAGGCUACCCAUCAUCACACUUCUUUAUUUCCUACAGUUUACCUCUUACUAUUUCUUGCACUUUGAUAGUGAACUUAAAUGUGUUGUUUUAUAUAUUUUUAAAUGAAUAAAACACAAAGAGUUAAAGUUAGAAUUUCUAAUAAAUCCAAUUCAAUCAACAUAUAUACUAGCUGUAAGGGGCGAACUUUACUUUCACACACAUUUAUACCAAAGUUAGGCAGAAAUUCAGACCAGCAAACAUCCAUUUUUCUGCCAUUAAUCCACAAAGACAAUUUUGAUGGCAUUUUAAAUCUUCCCCACAGUCAAGAUCACACCAUAUGAUCCGAAGUGAUUGCCAUAUGGAUGAAAUAAAAUCAAAAAAAGCUCUGAAUAAAUUGGUUAACAUUGACUUUCUUUGAAUGGAGACUUUGAGUAGAUGGAAAACAGACUUUCCUCUCUGAUAUGAAAAAAACAUUUAAGUAGGAAGGGAGAAAAAUACAUCACAUGAGGUGGAAAAAAGGAAAAUAAGAAUCAACAGUAUUCACUCUACAUCUUAAGAAAUAUUGUGUACAAUAGGCAUUGUCCAUUUCAUUAAGAAAUGUAAAUAUUCCUCUGCCUUUCUCGUUUUCAACUUGCAUGCACGCGCACAUACACACACACACUGUAUGCUAUGCACGAAAAUCCUGCCGUUACCUGAAGAGGGUCAAGGACACACCUGGCUGCAGCAGGCUUCUCCUCUCUCUCCAACUUGGGCUCCAACUCGGGCUCCAACUCCUGCUCCUCUCCCGGGCUGUCUGGACUCUGGGGCUCUGGGCAGGGCCUAAAGUAGUCCAAGGGAGGUGGCAAUCACUGUGAUGUCACUGAUGAAACAUCUCAAAGGAACAACCUCCAAAGGUUUGAGGCUAUUUGUGUUUAGGUGGACAUGGAAAUAUGUUGGCCAAGACUCCGUUCCUUUGGCUGCCAAUUUGUAUUAACACACCUGGGACUUAAAAUCUUCUCCUUCCAGUUGACUUUUGGUGCAAUUGAUGUGGGUUUUAAAUUUAUCUUUUACAUCUUCAUGAAUAUCUCUAACAUGUGUUUAAAACAUCAUAAACCAAGAGUGAUAGACUAAUGUUAAGAAAUAAAUGCUGCAUUUGGCUGUGAGACUGCAUUUACACCCUUAGCAUGUGAGGGUGUAAAAAUGUGACUUCAUUGUGCCACAUAUCUUUAACUAUUUGAAAUAUAGACAGUGCUCUGCUUUGCACACAUACAGCAAAACUACACACAUACACACCAGAAU